ACGUAGGCAGCGAGCGUUGUUCGGAGUUACUGGGCGUAAAGGGUGUGUAGGCGGUGGCUUAAGUUUGGUGUGAAAUCUCCCGGCUCAACUGGGAGGGUGCGCCGAAUACUGAGUUGCUCGAGUGCGGGAGAGGAGAGUGGAAUUCCUGGUGUAGCGGUGAAAUGCGUAGAUAUCAGGAGGAACACCGGUGGUGUAGACGGCUCUCUGGACCGUAACUGACGCUGAAACACGAAAGCGUGGGUAGCAAACAGGA
rnacentral:rRNA from 1 species